GCCCGUGUGUGCCCAUGCUCUGAGCGCCUGCUACAUCACGUGGAGGGUUCGAUAAGUCACACAUCGCCGCAUACGCACCCUUCCCCGGCAUUUGAGUGCGGGUUGUGUUUUGUUGCUGUGGGUGACCCUGAGGAUCCUGGCCUUUGGGAAUGCCUCCGUUGAAGUGGUAUAACAUGGGAUACCGAUUCGAGUAUGAUUGUAACUCACGGAGCAGGUGACCAAGAUGCUUCCAUCUGAACAGCAGCCGACCCGAGAACAAACACAUCAGGUUUGGAGGAGAAGAUAGGACAUACGCCGCCGUGGGGAAUUCAGCACAGAUGGAAGAGACAACGUACGGCGAGGACUCGCCACAACGCCAUGUGGAACUGGAUGCCAGAUGCGUGACCUCAGCUCGGAGAGCUCCGCGUUUAGAAGGAGGAGCGGCUGGGUGACGGAGGCCCUCCGUGUGCUUGGGAGGCCGCAGGGCUCUGGGCCUGGGGGGCUGGGAGACGGGCCUGGGGCCUGUGCAGAGGGGCAGAGGCCAGCUGUGCUGGGUGUGGCCUGUCACUCAGUGAGGCCCGGCAGUGCUGUCCGUGCCUCUUGUGUUCUGGGUGAGAGUUCUGACCCUCGUCUGCCUGGCUGGCUGGCUGGCUUUGGGCUGAGGCUUGGGGCCUGGGGUCUCGGGCACCGAGUUGAACGGGACGAUGGCAUCUGGGCCUUUCCUAGUUUUCAGAGGCACGCGUGGUUGGGGCUUUUCUUUGUUUUCACCUCUAUGUCCAUCCCAUCCAAUGGAGCGACUGUUGACAAUAAACUUCGACGCUAUGAUUUUGA